UAUGCCACCGAACUCCAAGACUAUCUAUCACGAAGGAGCUGUAUUCAAAUCUUUCAAGUUGGUCACAAAUGGCCAUUUCCAAGAAGAAGCUUUGACUGAAAGAUUGAUGGCACCAAAAGAAAAUCCCGGAUGUAGUGGGACACGCAAUCUGUCUGACAACAAGUCAGAUCUUCGUGCCCAGGUCGCUGCUAAUAAGAAGGGUAUAACUCUAAUAAAGGAACUCAUCGA